ensembl:lncRNA
GGGGCGCCGCGGGCAGUCUGCCGCUGCCACCUCAGCCGCGCUCUGUGCCGACUGACGCCCGCCGCUCACCGCCCGGAGCUGACGGUCCCACCACGCUCGCCGCCGCCACUGCCGGCACGACAGAUUCAUCCAUGAGCUCGGAUUUCCCACAUUACAACUUCAGGAUGCCUAAUAUUGGAUUCCAGAAUCUGCCACUCAACAUAUAUAUUGUGGUUUUUGGCACUGCUAUAUUUGUCUUCAUCCUUAGUUUACUCUUCUGUUGCUACUUGAUUAGGCUAAGACAUCAAGCACACAAAGAAUUUUAUGCCUACAAACAGGUUAUAUUAAAAGAAAAAGUAAAAGAACUGAAUUUACAUGAGCUCUGUGCAGUGUGCCUAGAAGACUUCAGGCCUCGAGAUGAGUUGGGGAUUUGUCCAUGUAAGCAUGCCUUCCACAGAAAGUGCCUUAUUAAGUGGCUGGAGGUUCGCAAAGUAUGUCCACUGUGCAACAUGCCGGUUCUGCAGCUGGCCCAGUUGCAUAGUAAGCAGGACCGUGGACCCCCACAGGGGCCCCUCCCUGGGGCAGAGAACAUUGUAUAGCUCAUCACAAGGAUCAAACUGUUGCAGAAGCCAAUGUCUGCGUGGAGCCAGGAGGAACACAAGCAGUCUCCGUGUUGGCUGCUCUACCUGGGGCACCAGCUGCUGCUUCCUUUGUCUAAUGAAGAACUCUUGGGCCAACUAGGCUGGGAACCGAGACUUCUGGGUCUUGUGACAACCAAAGUACUCUGACACCACCCCAUGCCAAGAGAAGAGGAGUAGAUGAGCCUGCGGGUUUGGUUCAAGAAACCUCAUGAGGGUCUCUUGCUAACUCCAUUGCACUCUGUCUCCCAGACACUUAUCUCCAUGUCAAGGUGAAUCUUUACCAAGCAUAAGGGACGAUAAACACAAGUGUUCGAGAAGGGAACUGAGGGCAGGUCUUUAAAGCCACCCCCACCCCGACCCUGUGGACACAUGAGCUUCUAUGCAGACCGUGCAUGCCUUUGCAGCAGCAAACCCUCCUAGCAGCCCCAGCCAAGUAAAAACAGUGGUUACCUCAGCCCAAGCACAACCGGCUGCAGUGCCGGAGGCAGUGCCAACAAGGCUUUUCACGUUAUGUCCCUUUGAUAAGGCCAUCUUAGAACCCAAGGGCUUUGGUUACAAAAAAGCAGCAGUACCCAUCACCACAGGUCCUGCCUCAAGUUCACAACACUUGCUUAUCAAAUCAUCUAAGCUAGAAACAUUAGAUGUGCUUGGAAAGGUCUGGUCAAAAGCCAUUUCCUCUUAUUUCCCCUCCUACUCACCAGUGAGGCACAGCCAAGCUGCCAUCAGGAGCCCCAGCAGGGGUUGGGCCUCUGAGCCCAUGCUGUCCCUGUAUGACCUGGGGGCCUCAGGGUGCUGCCCACAUUCCCACAUACGCAGUGUGGUUCCAGCAUACCUGCUGGUCUUGGCCCACUGCCUCAGUAGGAAGCUGCUGUAAGCCCCUCACAUGGCUCCAAAGAGGAGCAUCUUACUGAUAACGGCCAGUCCCCUUGGCCCUGCUGAGCUGAGAGGAGGAUGCUAACCCCCUUGCUUCUCCCCAUCCUUCUUUCUGUUCUCUUCCCUCUCUUGCCCUCUCUUUCUACUCAAAAGAAAAUGCUCAUCGUUGACUUAACAAUUUAAAGUAUCCCAAAUAAGAUCCCUAUGUAAUUCUGAAGCCAGGGAAAUGCUAGAAAUUGUGAAUAGUUUCAGGAAGCUCCUGCAAGGCUAUUCACCAUUGGUGUGUGCUUCAGUAUUUGGACUUGGAUAACUAACUGAAAGUGUCUUUAUAGGGGAGAAAUGCAUGCUGCUCUUUUGCUCUUUCUGUCCAACUUUUCUAGAAAUGACUCAGAGUCUAGCAGGAUUCAUGACUAUUUUGUAAGUUAGCUAUGUGAAACAGCAUUGGGUCAGAUAGAAAGCUCUCUUCCACAGCCCUGCUCUCCACCUCCUUCCAUCACAGGGGUGGGACUCCUCAUCAACAGCUUUGCCUCUCUGCUCCAUCCCCCAAGUAUGAGUGGGGGCAGUUUCUCAUUGGAAAUGCAGCCUGCAUGAUACGGAGAGUGGAGGAAACUUUGCUACUCUGUUCAUGGCGUAUCUCCAGGAAUUUUCUUGGAAUCCAGCCUCUACCGUCUUAGAAUGGGCGAGGGAACCUGUCCUUGGCUCAGGUGGCUGGGAUCAGAUGAGGAGGAAAAUUCCCAUUAGCCUAGAAAAGUGCUGGGCAGAAUCCAGUUUGGGAAAUUACAAAUCCAGUUGGUUGGAAUUGGCUGUACCCUAUGUGUGACCUAUUCAUGGUAUGCUAACUGGACUGCUUCUUUAAACAGGGCAAGGGAAGUGUGGAAUAUUUUUAUAUGAAAGCCUUAGUCUGUCUGGCACCCAUGAAAAGAACUAUUUGUACACUCCUACUUUCACCCUCUGUUUCUGCAUUCUCUAUUGUGUAGCACAAUAGAGUUGAAUGCUGCAAAGCACCCAGUUUAUAGUGAAAUGUUUUCAGUGACCAAUGUCAGAAGUAGGCUUACUUUGGACUAGCCUCAUUAAUAGCCAACACUCACCAUUUUCACAUAAUGGCUUUGGGACAAAUGUCACCUCUUAGUUAUGGGGUUCCAAUAGGAAACAGAACUUUUCCCUUCAAAGGAGGAAUUCUUGUGUUCUAUACUGCAAAUUAUUUCAUAGCACAGCUUUUGUAGGAUUAUAGCCUUUCAGUGCGUCAGUACCAAGGAGACAGCCUCACGAAGUCCCUCUAUUUGUAGGGAGGCAAAUUAAUUCAUCUCACCGUGUCACAGCUAAAGGCCAGUUGGACCAGACAUUCAAAGCCCAUCCGUUAGAGGAAAGCUUGAGAGUGCUGUGCGCUCCCCACUAGGCACCAUCAUGAGUCUGCUUUACACCAUGACCUCAACACUUGUGAAUGUGCAGGGCUUUUAAAAACCCAGCUCUUCUAAGGUGGGUCUUGACACUGGAGUGGUUAAGAGUGUUCGCUCUGCUUAUAAUCAUCUUCCCUUUCUUGGCUUGGUGUCCUUCUAUUGCAGCAUGGCCAGUGUCACCUGCAGUAGUUAUUACUCUUAGCAACACAACGUGAAUGUGUUUGCUCCCCACAUCUGGGUCCUCCUCCAGAACGUCCCAGUGCUGCACUGCUGUAACUGAGAACGGCCAGGGUUUAAUUUAUGUCUUCCUUUAAUUCUAAUUAAAAUCACAGUUUUAUGUGAAGGACAAGGUCAAAUCUCCAUUCAAAAAAAAUUAUUUUUAAAGAACAAGGAUCCCUUAAUACUCUUUGAUCAAGCUCACACCUCACAGUGAGGCUGCCCUGUCCAAAUCUAUCUCCAUGAGUUGUUGACCUUUUGUUAAUCUGUAGACAUGUGAGGACUCUGGUCUGCUUUUGGGUCACUGGCAGGUAACGUGAUUUUUUAACUUCAUCUUAAUGUGUCUUAAGCAACUCAGAGAUUGGGUGUUGCGUGCUGUGGGUUAGUGGAGCAAAACUCAGACUCAACUGGACUCCAUGGGUGGGUGAAUCAUUAUCUAGUUGUUACUAGGGGUACAGCUGAAUUCAGCUGGCUUUAGGAACAGGGAACAAAACCAGCCUGACUUGAUUCCUGGUUGAGUAGGCCUAACAUGCUAGUUGUCAUCUGCUGCUUUUCUUUGCCACAGUGAUUUGGUUAGGCCUAUUCCUAGUAGUUAAGGCCCUAGCGAAGGAACAGGACAAGACAGUAAUGGCCAGAUGGGAGCAGGUGGCCCAUGGGGAAGUCUGGGCUGAGGGAUACAAGGGACCUCACACCAUUGCCAAACACACUGUUCUCGACAAGUCUUGACAAAGAUCCUUUCCCCAGUGCCUAGCCCCUCAAAUCCAUCAAACGAAUGACCUCACGCCCUGUUCCUUUCCACAUUACCCACUCCAAAGCCUAUCAUCUUCAUGGCCUGGUCCCAUGCUGCUAAGCUGCCCUGAACGACAACUGUUUUUCUGAGAGGUUUUCUGGGAAUUAUGAAAUGCACACAGGGAGGCAUCCCCAGAGCUCUGUAGAGAAAAGGUGCUCAGCUUGAUUUGAAUCAUCCCCUUGCCACUCACUAGCCACAUCCCUUCUUGCAAGUUAGCCUCCCAAAACCUGUUCCCUUAUCCACCCACCCAGGGAUUAUAGGAAGGGUGUCCCCACCAGCUCUUGUGGGGAAUUGGCCACCAUGUCUGGAGCCCAGCAGGCAGGCCUAGAGUCAUGGGGGCUGGUGCUACUAGGUGACACCGUCAUGCUGGCCACAUGGGGCUCCUCUGUUGUCCCGGUAGAAACAACCUCAGCAGAGAGCCUCCUGAGAUGUAGGGGCUUUCCCCUGGGUCCCAGUUCACCUGGCUCCCUUCCCUUUCCCCUCUUGAUCUUCCUUAGUCACUUCCGUUUACCUUUGCCCACGGUGCUCCCCAACAUGGUUGCUCAGUGCUGAAUAUUCCCUAAUUUUUUGAAUAGGUAAUCCCUUCAAGUGGUUCACAAAUCAUAAACAGUUAAGUCUUCCUUGCAUCCCUGACCUCCAAGCAAGCCAAGUUCCUCACCCCUUGAGCACCCACUAUUAGUUCCUUGUGGAUUCUUCCAGAGAUUAUUUAUGCAUAUACAAGUACAUACACAUGUAUGUAUAUAUGCAUGGGGCGUGGGUGUGUGUAUAUAUAUAUACACACAGACACACACACACAGUUGACACUUGAACAACACAGGUUAGGGGCGCUGACCCCCUGUACAGCCUGCGCAUCACUUUACAGUCAGCCCUCUAUAUCCGCGGUUCAGCAUCCAAGGAUUCAACCAACUUUGGAUCAUGUAGAAUGUAUUCAUUGAAAAAAAUCCACGUGUAAGUAGACCUGCUCAGUUCAAACCUAUAUUGUUCAAGAAUCAACUGUGUGUAUGUGUAUAAGUUUUUUUCUUUUUUACUUGUGUAAUACCAGACAAGUAUAUUCAAGGAACAUUCCUAGUCAUGUGGGAAGAACCAUCCCAGAAGUCAGAAUAUCUGUAAAAGGUGAGCCCAGAAUUGGGGGAUAUUUCUAUAAUCACAUUCCUUUUGAAGAAGGCAUAUUUUCCACUGAUUGCAGCAUGAUGAAAUUCUAGUUUGCUAUCCCAAUCAAACUACAAUCCCUCCCUGACCCUAACCACUGAUGCCCAAACAAGAAGACAGCACAACCAGUUUCCAGCCUAUCUUUCUGAGUCUGUUGCAGGGCACUCAAGAGCAGGCUCCACAGCCAAAAGCAACAGCACAGUCCAGCAGCUUUUGCAGGAGCCUGGACAGGCUGCAGCCGCACCUCAGCCCCCCAAUCCAGUUUCAAGUGAGGACCAAGAGCCCAGCAGUGACGUCUGGUUACAACUGUCAUGGUUUCUUAGGCAAGCCCAUGUUUUUGAGGCAGUAGUUUGAGAAGCAGCAGUAACUGAAGGCUGAGACAUACUUCUGUUUUGUGGGGCAGAUGUCUCAGAUGUUGCUAAGCCAAUAGGUGGUCAGCUGCCUCAGCAUUAACAGCGAUAUGGCCGAACGUUCAAGUUCAUGAACCUACUCCCUUUCCCUUCCCACUCUUUAUGAACACACUAAAAAGAAAAUGUUCCCAUAGAAUUUCUCCUCACCCAACAUUUUUUCAACAGCAAUUAUCCCACCAACAUUUUCUUUAAAAUUAAGUUCAUUCUUGCCCCUGCAGGAGAUCCAGGUUAAAGCUGCUUCCUCCAGGCAGCCUUGGGGGGAGGGGCAUGGACUUGUGCCUCUCAUUCCUCACCCACCUCCUUGGUAUCCUGCCACACAGAACAGCAGCCCAGGGAUUCCCUAGAUUAAAAGUGCAACUUGGGCCCCUGACCUGAAACUUGCAAAGGAAUUGUAUGUGAAACUCCACUCUUCUGUCAUUUGAUGAACCUCUUGUCUUUUUCAUCGUUAGCAUUUAGGAAUUUGAGUAAAGGAGAUGAAAGUGUCUAAAUUCUGGUGAAAGGUGCAGUUGUUAACUGGAAAAUGCUGGGUCAUGUUCCUUUAGUAGAUUAACAAAGGCUUCCACGUGCCAUGGAAUGUGCUUCCAUUUGACUGGGAACAUGAGGAAAACAGAGGGGCUUGUUCAGUAAAUAUUAUUCCAGUUCAGCUUCAGAGCCUAAACUGUUGUUGCAAGAUGCAGUUUUAUUCCACUUUUAGACCAAGCAUCAGCACACUUGGCUUACCGACCCAGUGCUCACUUCUGUGGCUGUAGUGUCAGGGCCUCCCUGCUCCAGGGACAUGUACCCACAUUGUGGGCCCCACCAGUGUCAAAGGACUUGUCUAUUCUUCCAUGAAGCCCCUCUCAGCUCCCUAGGCCAGUACAAGCCUGGCGGACCUGUGUCUCGGGCCAGGUGCACACCAUCCCUCCAUCCACCCCUUCCCUCCCAGGCACCCCCGCUAGAGCAGGAGAGGCAGAUGGGGCUAGUGUUAGGAAGUCCUUCCUGGUAACAGCUCAGUCUUCCAAGAGAGUGUUCCUGAACUGUCAUCUCUGGGUCUCUUGACAGAUCUUUGCCAGAAAGAGUGGAUAUUAGUCCUAUAGUUUUAAGCCCAUUGGGGUUUAUUCGCUAGAUAUCAUAUAACUCCCUCAAAAAAAGGUUUAUGAAAUGCUGAACCUCAGGUUUCAUAGACAUGUUUGUACACUAAGAAUUAUGCAGCAGAAUAUUUUUAAACAUUCGCAGUUUUUUGUAAGCUAUAUAUUUUUGUAUAUUUAAUUGCUAUUUUAAAAUUUUAAUGCAUUUUGCUAAUUACUCUUGUUUAAAAAAUAAGACAUGCAUGUAACUGACUUAAAUGUAAAUAAAAAGCAGAUUUA